rnacentral:rRNA from 1 species
UACAGAGGGGGCAAGCGUUGUUCGGAAUUACUGGGCGUAAAGGGCGCGUAGGCGGCCCGUUAAGUCGAACGUGAAAUCCCCAGGCUUAACCUGGGAACUGCGUCUGAUACUGGAUGGCUUGAAUUCGGGAGAGGGAUGCAGAAUUCCAGGUGUAGCGGUGAAAUGCGUAGAUAUCUGGAGGAAUACCGGUGGCGAAGGCGGCAUCCUGGACCGAGAUUGACACUGAUGAGCGAAAGCCAGGGGAGCAAACGGG